rnacentral:lncRNA from 1 species
AUGAAGGAAUCAAUAAACGCGAAUGGAAUUCAAACGGAAUAAAUCUUACUGCCUGAAUCACUCAAUUCAGAGUAGCCUCCUGAGGAUUUCACAUUAAAUGAAAUUCUGUCAAUGGGACAUGCAUGUGAGUUUAGAAGCAAUUCUUUCUUUAAUAUGCAGAGGCUUCUGGGAGUGCUCAGGCCAUCAACCAAAGAUAAACUAGAAGAUUUGGUGCCCAGCAUGAAGAAGAGUUCCUUUCAAGUACCUGUAUGUCCCGAAUGUAUUCCUUCCAGUGGGUUCUUGGUCUCGCUGACUUCAAGAAUAAAGCCUUGGACCCUUGUGGUGAGUGUUACAGUUCUUAAAGAUGGUGUAUCUGGGGUUUGUUCCUUCAGAUGUUCAGAUGUGUCCAGAGUUUCUCCAUUCCAGCGGGUUCGUGGUCUCCCUGACUUCAGGAGUGAAAUCGCAGACCUUUGCAGUGAGUGUUAUAGCUCUUAA